AUGGCCGGAGGGACCAGGCGGGUGUCCACCUCGAGGCCAGUUUUCGUCGGUAGACAGGAAGAGCCGCCACAGAGGGUCAUGCAGACUGCAGUAGUCGGCCAGAGGGGUUUUCUAUCCUACGAGUUCAUGUUCCAGAGGAACCCAGGGCAUUCAUGGGUCACCAUUUAUUUUUCAGAAAUAGAGGAUCUGGCGCCAACAGAAAUCCGAAACUUCACGGUAGAGGUUUCAGAUUGGCCAGAAUACAACGGUCUGACGGUUGAUGUGGCAGCGGAGGCUGGAGGUAAAUACCGUCUCUAUGAGCUAAGGUGUAUCAACGUAUCAGUUCAUCAUCUUCUCUUUAUGGAGUUGAGUAAGAGGAGUGAAUUUUCCAAAGGCCCUAUCAUCAAUGCUAUUGAGAUAUACAACUAUCUACCAAUUGCUGCAGGUAAGCAAUCGUCCUUUUCUAUACUAGUGUACAGUACCAAUUUUGAAUUGCAUCUUCAAACUCAUUACAAUGCUUAG
rnacentral:rRNA from 1 species